GAUGAACGCUGGCGGCGUGCCUAAUACAUGCAAGUCGAGCGAACAGACGAGGAGCUUGCUCCUCUGACGUUAGCGGCGGACGGGUGAGUAACACGUGGAUAACCUACCUAUAAGACUGGGAUAACUUCGGGAAACCGGAGCUAAUACCGGAUAAUAUAUUGAACCGCAUGGUUCAAUAGUGAAAGACGGUUUUGCUGUCACUUAUAGAUGGAUCCGCGCCGCAUUAGCUAGUUGGUAAGGUAACGGCUUACCAAGGCGACGAUGCGUAGCCGACCUGAGAGGGUGAUCGGACACACUGGAACUGAGACACGGUCCAGACUCCUACGGGAGGCAGCAGUAGGGAAUCUUCCGCAAUGGGAGAAAGCCUGAAGGAGCAACGCCGCGUGAGUGAUGAAGGUCUUCGGAUCGUAAAACUCUGUUAUUAGGGAAGAACAAAUGUGUAAGUAACUAUGCACGUCUUGACGGUACCUAAUCAGAAAGCCACGGCUAACUACGUG
rnacentral:rRNA from 1 species